GAUGAACGCUAGCGGGAGGCCUAACACAUGCAAGCCGAGCGGUAGAGUUUCUUCGGAAACUUGAGAGCGGCGCACGGGUGCGUAACACGUGUGCAACCUACCUUUAUCUGGGGGAUAGCCUUUCGAAAGGAAGAUUAAUACCCCAUAAUAUAAUGAUUGGCAUCAAUUAUUAUUGAAAACUCCGGUGGAUAGAGAUGGGCACGCGCAAGAUUAGAUAGUUGGUGAGGUAACGGCUCACCAAGUCAAUGAUCUUUAGGGGUCCUGAGAGGGAGAUCCCCCACACUGGUACUGAGACACGGACCAGACUCCUACGGGAGGCAGCAGUGAGGAAUAUUGGACAAUGGGUGAGAGCCUGAUCCAGCCAUCCCGCGUGAAGGAUGGCGGUCCUAUGGAUUGUAAACUUCUUUUGUACAGGGAUAAACCUACCCUCGUGAGGGUAGCUGAAGGUACUGUACGAAUAAGCACCGGCUAACUCCGUG
rnacentral:rRNA from 1 species